rnacentral:rRNA from 1 species
UACAGAGGUGGCAAGCGUUGUUCGGAAUUACUGGGCGUAAAGGGCGUGUAGGCGGUCGCCUAAGUCAGACGUGAAAUCCCCAAGCUUAACUUGGGAACUGCGUCUGAUACUGGGUGGCUUGAGUUCGGGAGAGGAAUGUGGAAUUCCAGGUGUAGCGGUGAAAUGCGUAGAUAUCUGGAGGAACACCGGUGGCGAAGGCGGCAUUCUGGACCGAAACUGACGCUUAAGCGCGAAAGCCAGGGGAGCAAACGGG